GACAGAGGAGGCAAGCGUUGUUCGGAUUCACUGGGCUUAAAGCGCGUGUAGGCGGCCCGGCAAGUGUCGUGUGAAAUCCCACGGCUCAACCGUGGAACGGCACGGCAAACUGCCGGGCUUGAGGUCGGUAGGGGUGCCUGGAACUCCAGGUGGAGCGGUGAAAUGCGUAGAUAUCUGGAGGAACGCCGGAGGCGAAAGCGGGGCACUGGGCCGAUGCUGACGCUGAGACGCGAAAGCGUGGGGAGCAAACAGG
rnacentral:rRNA from 1 species